GAAUGAUGAAUACAGUUAAAAUCGCAGGAAUUCCAGUCAGAUUGUACAGUGCUGAGUAACAAUUUUCUGAUC
ensembl:snoRNA